GGGAUGUGGCUGCAGGCCGUUUCUUUGCAACUCAUGAUUCAUCUAACUGCUCGUGGCACAGAUGAGAUCAAAGCCCAGAGAAGGUGAGCCACCAGCCCCAGGUCACAGAGCACAGGAAGUGAAGAGGAAACAGUGACCUUUCUCCUUCGGCUGCAGCCCUGUUGCCCAAGCUCAGGGCAACCCCUGAGCCCUGAUCCCAAGGGAGGCAGUGCCGCCUUCUCCUCUAGGCCUGGCAGUUCCAGGGUGACAGGAAGGUCACGAUAUCUCUGUUUGGGUGCACUGCAGCCUCCGCUUCCUGCCAGGACCAGGCUGUAUCAGGCACUGGGAUGAAGAAAACAUUCCAAGCAAUGGGCUGGCCUAGAAGACUCUCCAGGUCAUGAUGUGACCAAGGUUGCCCCUUGCCACUCCCAGCUUUAUUCUCACCAGCUCAGCAACCCCAGGGAAAAGGGAGCACCAAUUUCCAAUUGUUUCAGAACAAGGAAACUAUUGCUGCAUCCCAAGAGUCCCGCAUGCAGUAGCUCAUCAACUGGUCACAAGGACGUUAGAGGUGGGUGCUCUCAUUACCUCAUUUCUCCACAAGGCCCAGACACAUUCCCAAGCCUGCACAGCUGGGAAGCAGCGAAGCUGCUUUGACCCCAAGUAAUGAAUUCUCCAGAUGGAAUAAACAAGGGCCCUGCUGAUGGCCCUUAAUGCUCUUUGCAAUCCUCCUCUAUUACAAAACCACCGUGCUGAGCAACCCCACAGGUGCGUGUGUUUGUAAGCAUGCACUAGUAGGUUUGGGGAAAGAGAUUCCUACAGGCGAAAUUGCUGUAUCAAAAGAUGAUGUAUGGUUCUAUUAUUGCUAGGGGCUGCCAAAAGGGAAAGAGACUGCCCAUUUCCCCACAUCCAUGCCAGAACUGCAUGUUCUUGUUUUUGCCACUCUGGGGAGAGGCGCCCUUCCUCAUGGCCCUAGGAAGGUAGUGAAGUUAUGUCCCAGCCCCAGGUAGGCAGCCUCCUUCCUGCAAGGGGUCAUCCAGGGAGCACCCUGUGCCAGCCCACCUCUGGGCAUCCUGUUGUCAUGGAAAUAUUUCAAGGCCUGCUUUCAUCCUGAAUAGCAACUUCAGUGGAAAGAGAAGGCCUCUGUUAUGGGCUAAAUUGUGGUCCCUCAAAAUUCAUAUGUUGAAGUCCCAACCCCCAAGACCUGAAAAUAUGACUGCAUUUAGAGAUGGGGUCUUUAAAGAGGUGGUUACGUUUAAAUGGUUGUUAGGGUGGGCCCUAAUCCAGUCUGCCCGGUGUCCUUAUAAGAAGAACAGACCUCAGGAGCGCACAUGCACAGAGGGAUGACCGUGUGCAGAGGCAGCAAGAGGGUCGCCAUCUGCAGGCCAAAGAGAGAGGCCUUGACGGAAAUCAACCCUGACAGCCGGCAUCUCGAGCUUGGACUUCCAGCCUCCAGCACUGUGAGAUAAUAACUGUGUUGCUUAAGCCACCCGGUCUGUGGUCUUUUGCUAUGGCAGUUCUAGCGAACAAAUAUAGUCUCUUUCCCUGCACACCUAGAAGAGUUCCUGGGAAGAUGCCCAUAUGCCUGGCUUGGUUCACUUCCCGUCUGUUACCAAUUGCUGUGGCCACCAGAUGCUGAACUCUAAUCGGUCAGGCCUUGGCCAAGUGCUCAUCCCUGGAGCUAGGGAUGGGCUCAGCCUGCCAACCUGGGUUCACUUUUCCUUGUUUGAUUAAAAAUUUUAAUUUAAAGCAAGUGACGGCUGGAUGCAAUGGCUCACUUCUAUAAUUCCAACCUUUUGGGAGGCCAAGGUGGAAGGAUCACUUCAGCCCCAGAGUUCGAGACCAGCCUGGGCAACACAGCGAAAC
rnacentral:lncRNA from 10 species